rnacentral:rRNA from 1 species
UACAGAGGGUGCGAGCGUUGUCCGAAGUUACUGGGCGUAAAGCGCGCGUAGGCGGUCUCUUAAGUCCGGGGUGAAAGGUUCAGCGCUCAACGCGAACAGUGCCCUGGAGACUGGGGGACUUGAGUGUGGGAGGGGGCAGUGGAAUUCCUGGUGUAGCGGUGAAAUGCGCAGAUAUCAGGAGGAACACCGGUGGCGAAGGCGGGUCUCUGGGCAGUAACUGACGCUGAGGAGCGAAAGCGUGGGGAGCGAACGGG